CCUACGGGUGGCAGCAGUAGGGAAUAUUGCUCAAUGGGGGAAACCCUGAAGCAGCAACGCCGCGUGGAGGAUGAAGGUUUUCGGAUUGUAAAAUCCUUUUGUUAGAGAAGAAAAUGACGGUAUCUAACGAAUAAGCACCGGCUAACGCCGUGCCAGCAGCCGCGGGAAUACGGAGGGAGCAAGCGUUAGUCGGAAUCACUGGGCGUAAAGGGCGCGUAGGCGGGAUAGCAAGUCAGAUGUGAAAUCCUAUGGCUUAACCAUAGAACUGCAUUUGAAACUGUUAUUCUAGAGUAUGGGAGAGGUAGGUGGAAUUCUUGGUGUAGCGGUGAAAUCCGUAGAGAUCACGCGGAAUACUCAUUGCGAAGGCGACCUGCUAGAACAUAACUGACGCUGAUGCGCGAAAGCGUGGGGAGCAAACAGGAUUAGAUACCCGAGUAGUC
rnacentral:rRNA from 1 species